UUUGUUCAUUUGUUUAGGUCGUAGCUCAAGGAGAGUUGUAUGUCCUCUCUCUCUGUGUUUUCAGGCUGGAAUCAUUGGCAGCAGCUAGAGGAUCAGGACAUGAAUGUCCACUGAAGCGGAUGUCUUGGAGGGGUUGGUAGAAAGUUGUUUCGUUGAUGAAGAGAAGAGUAAUGUCUGUAUGUGGGAUGACGGGACCAGGGUUUGGUCUGUCUGUGUUCCUGUUGGCUCUGCUUCAUCUUCAAUGCUCAGCCCAGAAAAAGUACACUACGCUACCAAAUAACGUAACAGUGGCUGUUGGCAAGCCUGCUGUCUUCCAGUGUGGUGUGUCCCCUUCUCCUAGACAACUCAACUUCACCAUCUAUGGUAGCCAUGGAAACAGAACCCUUAUCUGCCCAGGAGACCACACUGAGUACCUGGCUGCCCAGUCAAUAAAAGGGUACUGUGAUAACACAGGUAAGGAGCUCUUUGCAAUAUGGCUUAUCAGCAGGACGUCCCGCUCUGACAACAACACACGUGUGGUAUGUGAGAGCUCAGAGCGACCACUAGUGGAUGGAUACCUCUGGGUGUACGGUAAAUACACGUCUCUAAUACACCUUCCCUGAGCAUGGUAUUGGACAUUGUCAUCAUUAGCUAACCCUAAUCUCUUUGUCUGUCUGUCUGUCUGUCUGUCUGUCUGUCUGUCUGUCUGUCUGUCUGUCUGUCUGUCUUGUCUUGUCUUGUCUUGUCUUGUCUUGUCUGUCUAUCCUGUCUGUCUGUCUAUCUGCAUAUCCUGUCUGUCUGUCUCUCUAUCCUGUCUGUCUGUCCUCUUCGGAUACAUUUUCAGAGGACGGCAGUUACUUUGCCACCCUCAUUGGCUGCGUUAUUGGUGGUUUCUUUGGUAUCCUCAUCGUCAUUGGUCUGUCAUACACUGUGCUCAGGAGAUCUGAGAGGUUCCAGCUCUGUUUCAGGGGAAAAGACCGUGACGAUGACAUCACCACAAUGGUGACAAAGGAAUAAACACACUCCUUUCAAUACUGUUGGAUUCACUUAUUCAACUUCUUAAGAUUUUGGAUUUUUUUUUUGCCUUCGUUUGUUCAGCCGCAGUUCUACUAUUUGUCCAGCAGAGAGCAGCCAUGACAGUACUGGAACUGAAGUUCAAUGAAGUUGAGAUACUACUAAAGCAUUUUAAUAAUGUACUAUAAUUUUGCGUCUCUGACUUUUCCUCUACUCCGGAAUACUGAAGUUUAUGUUCCUUUUUUAUACUGCGUUUUAUAGCUCCAUUAAUUGUUUUACAGUUGGCAGCCAGCUAACACCUGUUUUCACUGCAUAAACAAUAGAGAGCAGGACGUCUGAGUAGCUGUCUAAAGUGUUCCAGUGGAGGAUCAGUAGAGGUGGUGCGAUGUUGACUCAGCUGGCCUGCUAUGCUCUGGUAUGACUCUGACACAGACACAACUCACAUCACUUCAAAUCCCACAAUAUGCAUUGGUCAUUUGUUUAGAAUUACAUACAUUCCUUUGAGAUGUAUUUAUAUUUUUUAUGCAUGCUCCCCAUCUUCAGAGUGGCUUGUCAGAGGAUAUGGUCAAAUGCUCAAUGACCCUUAGAUGGUUUGUUUAGUGACAAAUAUGCCUCCUAACAAGUAAGAGUAGUGUAUGUUUUGAGUGUGCCAGCACUAGCGUGCUUGUGUCAGUGCAUGCAUGAAUGCCUACAUACCACGCUUUUAUUUAAGUCCAAGCUAUGCACCAUAGUUGUGUCAGUGAUGAUGCAGACAUAUUAUAUGAAUACAGUGAGCUCCAAAUGUAUUGGGACAAUGAAAAUUGUUGUUGUUGUUUUGGGUAUGAACUCUAGCACUUUGGAUUUGAAAUUAUACAAUGACUGUGAGGUUAAAGUGCAGACUGUCAGCUUUUAAUUUGAGGGUAUCCAUAUCAGGUGAACUCUUUAGAAAUGACAACACUUUUUGUACAUAGUCCUCCAUUUGGACAAAUCCACUUAUAUGUGUAUUAAAGAAGUACAAAGUUAAGUAUUUGGUCCCAUAUUCAUAGCACGUAAUGACUACAUCAAGCUUGUGACUCUACAAAUUUGUUAGAUGCUUUUGCUGCUUGUUUUGGUUGUGUUUCAGAUUAUUUUGUGCCCAAUAGAAAUGAAUGGUAAAUAACUUGAAUACUACUUUAAUACACAUAUAAGUGAAUUUGUCCUAAUACUUAUGGUCCCUUAAAAUUGGGGAACUAUGCACAAAAAGUGCUGUAAUUUCUAAAUGGUUCACCCUCAAAUUAAAGCUGCACUUCAACCUCAUAGUCAUAGUAUAAUUUCAAAUCCAAAGUGCUGGAGUACAGAGUCAAAACAACAAAAAAUGUGUCAUUGUCUGAAUACUUUUUUUAAAGACUGAACAUGUUUCAGGGUUGUUGUGCUAAGAAGAGAGCAGGGUUUUUGUGGAGGGAAUGUCUUAUGUUUGUGUUGUACCUGUGUGUUUACUUUACCCUAUAACCUUUGGAUAGCCCACCCUGACUGUCUCUUGUGUGAGCAUACGACAAUCCUUUCACUGUGGCCACAGGUUCUGUAGACUUUGUAGCUGAGGUAUGCACAGUGGUGUAAAAAGUACCCAAUUGUCAUACUUUAGAAAAAGUAAAGAUACCAUAAUAGAAGAGGACUCAAGUAAAAGUGAGUCACCCUGUAAAAUCCUACUUGAGGAAAAGUCUAAAAGUAUUUGAUUUUAAAUAUACUUAAGUAUCAAAAGUCAAUGUAAUCUCUAAAAUGUACUUAAGUAUCAAAAGUAAAAGUAUAAAUCAUUUCAAAUUUCUUUUCAAAAGCAAACCAGAUGGCACCAAAAUUAUUAUUAUAUUUUUUUG